GAUGAACGCUGGCGGCGUGCCUAAUACAUGCAAGUCGAGCGAACAGACGAGGAGCUUGCUGCUCUGACGUUAGCGGCGGACGGGUGAGUAACACGUGGAUAACCUACCUAUAAGACUGGGAUAACUUCGGGAAACCGGAGCUAAUACCGGAUAAUAUAUUGAACCGCAUGGUACAAUAGUGAAAGACGGUUUUGCUGUCACUUAUAGAUGGAUCCGCGCCGCAUUAGCUAGUUGGUAAGGUAACGGCUUACCAAGGCAACGAUGCGUAGCCGACCUGAGAGGGUGAUCGGCCACACUGGAACUGAGACACGGUCCAGACUCCUACGGGAGGCAGCAGUAGGGAAUCUUCCGCAAUGGGCGAAAGCUUGACGGAGCAACGCCGCGUGAGUGAUGAAGGUCUUCGGAUCGUAAAACUCUGUUAUUAGGGAAGAACAAAUGUGUAAGUAACUAUGCACGUCUUGACGGUACCUAAUCAGAAAGCCACGGCUAACUACGUG
rnacentral:rRNA from 1 species